CCUACGGGUGGCUGCAGUGGGGAAUAUUGGACAAUGGGGGCAACCCUGAUCCAGCCAUGCCGCGUGUGUGAAGAAGGCCCUCGGGUUGUAAAGCACUUUCAGUGAGGAAGAACGCCUGGUGGUUAAUACCCAUCAGGAAAGACAUCACUCACAGAAGAAGCACCGGCUAACUCCGUGCCAGCAGCCGCGGUAAUACGGAGGGUGCGAGCGUUAAUCGGAAUUACUGGGCGUAAAGCGCGCGUAGGUGGCUUGAUAAGCCGGUUGUGAAAGCCCCGGGCUCAACCUGGGAACGGCAUCCGGAACUGUCAAGCUAGAGUGCAGGAGAGGAAGGUAGAAUUCCCGGUGUAGCGGUGAAAUGCGUAGAGAUCGGGAGGAAUACCAGUGGCGAAGGCGGCCUUCUGGACUGACACUGACACUGAGGUGCGAAAGCGUGGGUAGCAAACGGGAUUAGAUACCCUGGUAGUC
rnacentral:rRNA from 1 species